rnacentral:rRNA from 1 species
GCACAAGCGGUGGAUGAUGUGGUUAAUUCGAUGCAACGCGAAAACCUUACCACCCUUGACAUGUACGGAAUCCUUUAGAGAUAGAGGAGUGCUCGAAAGAGAGCCGUAACACAGGUGCUGCAUGGCUGUCGUCAGCUCGUGUCGUGAGAUGUUGGGUUAAGUCCCGCAACGAGCGCAACCCUUGUCAUUAGUUGCUACAUUCAGUUGGGCACUCUAAUGAGACUGCCGGUGACAAACCGGAGGAAGGUGGGGAUGACGUCAAGUCCUCAUGGCCCUUAUAGGUGGGGCUACACACGUCAUACAAUGGAUGGUACAAAGGGUCGCCAACCCGCGAGGGGGAGCCAAUCCCAUAAAGCCAUUCGUAGUCCGGAUCGCAGUCUGCAACUCGACUGCGUGAAGUCGGAAUCGCUAGUAAUCGUGGAUCAGAAUGUCACGGUGAAUACGUUCCCGGGUCUU